GUUAUACCUCUUUCCCGGUUUCUGCCGGUUGUAGUUUUUGCUGUUUAUGCAUCUGCGUACUUUGAGAAUAAUAUACGUGUCCGCGUUACGCAGUCAAUAUUUAACGUUGUCGAGUUGUCUGUAACGUGUGUGUUAUCGUGAAACAAACAGUGAUAAAACAUGAUAUGAGUGUGAUCAUGAUGCUAACCAGGCCUGUGUUUGUAUUUCUUCGUAGGUAUAAGUGUGUGUCUUUGAGAUCAUCUCGAAAACAUUUUAACAGUUCAGAUAUCUGAGUACAAAGAGUGCUACAGAGAGUCAGCGUUUCACCAUCAGACCAAUAGGAACAAAGUGAUGAAAAGGAUGAAAAUGAGACGAGCCCUUGUCCUGUGUGCACGACCUGUGUACCUGCGUGAAGAUGUCUUCAAGUUCUUCAGGAACUGCAAUUCACCAGAUGGUCCAGACCUCACUGGCACUCCGGUGGCUCUCUUGAACAGUCUUCAUGUAUGACCCUACUGAUGGUGCCCUCUUCAGCCCUGAGAGGAUCAGUAUUGUCGUGGAGGAUGAAAUACUUGUGAGUGGUCCCAUAAAUCUGGUUGACUCAUUUCUCCUGCUCUUUGAGUACAUCUAUGCAAUAGACUUUCAGUACCCAAAGAAUCACAAGCUUACAUUGACAUUUAUCCCAAAAGUUGCCAUGCGUCUUGAGGACAACAAACCACUGAAAGGGCGUCUAUUGAUGCUGAAGAAUGAUU